rnacentral:lncRNA from 1 species
GGUAACUGCUCUGUACACUUGGUCUGCAGGUCGAGGCUGCAAACCUUGGCCCUGCCUGACACUGACACAAUCGGACUUCAGAAAACAUCAUCUCUGUGUUCUUUGAGAGGAAAAAUGGGCUUGCCAAGUAUCGAUGUACUCCAUUAACCCACUUUAUCAGAUGAUGACUGAGGAAUUCGGAAAAACAAGGAUAUUCAUUACUCAGACCCUGCUUGCAGAGUUGAUGAUUCCUUAAGACUGCAAUGACCGAUGUGCUGAGACAACACAGGCUGAAAGGCAUCUAAUAAACCAUUCAACCAAUAGUAAACCGUAUCAAUGGAUCAUCAAGACAAGACCUAAUAGUGCACAGAGUCAAAAGACUUGCAGCUUAAUCUACAAGUACAUAAUACAGAAUCGUAGAAUCAUAGAACCACAGAAUCAUCAUCACGUAUCUGCAGAAAAGGAGGGAGGAAAUUCUGAAGUGCUUCAUGUCAAUACUCAGUUUUCCAGUGUCCACUGCAAAGACAAGGUCCUCCCUGGAGAGUGUCGAACCUCUCUGCACUCACACAACAUCCAUGGGAACUGGCGAGCACCAACAAAGAUUGUGCAGAGUUAGUUGGUGUUACUUACAGCGCACCAUAGCUGGUGUCUAUCUACAGAUCAGCUUGCAGCUUCAUGUGAGGCAUCCAGUUUCUUGAGGGAUGAAAAGCAUAGCUAGUGUGGAGCUUUAAGGAUCAGCUAUGUCCAACCCAUUACUGAAUUGGCUUAGCAGCACAGCAUAGACUGAAAAGGUCACAGUGAUUUUGGAUACUCAAAGUGCCUCCACCUGGCUCUUUUCUGACUGAGUUUGGGAAUAUCUGUUGCCAUCAGGUGACCAUUUCAAAGGGUACUUACCAAUGAAGCUAUUGAAGACAUGUGCAGAACACAAAGAAAAGAAAUAAAUCUUCAGUCCUUCCUUGAAGAACAGCAGCAUAUUUUCUCAGCAGGCAAAUAUAUGAGGUAUGUUUUCUGUAAUACUCCACUGAGAUCAGAAACAUAGGUUUUAUGACUUCUCCCAUCCAUGCCUGCAAAAUAUGUAGAAUAAAGAAAUUCUUCAAACAAAAGGAAGAUCAAUAGUUACUAGGAUUUAUUUUUUUUUUUUGUCCUUUCAUAGUCUGAAUUAGAAUGAAAGGAGUUUAGCAAGUCAGCAACAAUGAGAUUGCUAAUUAUACCUAAUAGUCAUUCAACUUCUUUCCCCAAAAUUAUGUAUGUUAUUCCAAAAGUAGUGCUUCCUAUUUAUUUCCAUGGAAACUACAACAGACACAAAAAAUACAACAACACUAUUUGAUAGAGCACAUUUUCAGCACAAAGCAUUACUUUAAACGCAGUCACCACCAGUUGCUAUACAUUUAUGCCAGUAAUGAGCAAGAGCCUUCAUGUCACACUAGAUCAGAUUUUUCUGCAUCAGUGGAGGUGACCCACCAUUUCACAGCUGCUGUGAUGGCAUCGUUGCUAAAAUGCACUGCCUCACUGUGCUGGCAUCCACUGUUUCAAUUCCAUCAAUGUUCA